AUCAUGGCUCAGGAUGAACGCUAGCUACAGGCUUAACACAUGCAAGUCGAGGGGCAGCAGGACGAUAGCUUGCUAUUGUCGCUGGCGACCGGCGCACGGGUGAGUAACGCGUAUCCAACCUUCCCCUUAGUAGAGGAUAGCCCGGCGAAAGUCGGAUUAAUACUCUAUGUUGUAUUUUGAGGACAUCUGACGAAUACCAAAGAUUCAUCGCUAAGGGAUGGGGAUGCGUCUGAUUAGCUUGUUGGCGGGGUAACGGCCCACCAAGGCGACGAUCAGUAGGGGUUCUGAGAGGAAGGUCCCCCACAUUGGUACUGAGACACGGACCAAACUCCUACGGGAGGCAGCAGUGAGGAAUAUUGGUCAAUGGGCGAGAGCCUGAACCAGCCAAGUAGCGUGCAAGGAAGACUGCCCUAUGGGUUGUAAACUGCUUUUAUCAGGGAAUAAAGUUCGGCACGUGUGCUGUUUUGUAUGUACCUGAUGAAUAAGGACCGGCUAAUUCCGUGCCAGCCGCCGC
rnacentral:rRNA from 1 species